rnacentral:rRNA from 1 species
UACGUAGGGUGCGAGCGUUAAUCGGAAUUACUGGGCGUAAAGCGUGCGCAGGCGGUUCGUUGUGUCGGCGGUGAAAGCCCCGGGCUUAACCUGGGAAUGGCCGUCGAAACUGGCGAACUGGAGUGUGGCAGAGGGGGGUGGAAUUCCGCGGUGGUAGCAGUGAAAUGCGUAGAGGAUGCGGAGGAACACCGAUGGCGAAGGCAGCCCCCUGGGCUGACACUGACGCCUCAGGCACGAAAGCGU